rnacentral:rRNA from 1 species
AUGUUCCAAACCAUAUCCAGAAACCAAAGACAGUUCCAGCAAUCACUGAGUAGUACAGCCACAAAGUUUCAAGUUCAUGGUCAUGUUCAUUUGGCUGAUCCAGCACUGUUGCAGAACUUGAAUCAUGCUUACCGAAAAAGGAUUUCCCUCCGCUUUGUAUUCCAAAGCAACCAACACCGAUACAAGGAUCGCUGUGACGAACAGCACAUCAAGCCCAAAAAAAAAAGAAACAAAUGCCAACAACGGCAGCUCAACAAAGCGCGGAUGACGCGUCACCGCUACGCCCUCCAGAAACAAACCACCACAACCCGAGGCUCCGAACCGCCGCGUACCAAGCAGCACCUCCAAGAAGGAAUGCGACGCCGGCGACGCUGCUGCCCAGACAUGUCCUAG